GGGGCUUUAGCUCAAUAGUAGAGUGAUUGCUCCAUGUGCAGGAGGUCCUAGGUUCAAUCCCUAGUACCACCC
rnacentral:tRNA from 1 species